rnacentral:lncRNA from 1 species
CUUUAUUCCUCAUCAUGUCUCCACAGGGCUAAAAGACAAUGCUGGCACUGCUAUCACUGAGGAGUCUGUCCCUCCAUACCGUGGACUCCUUCAUCACCUCGCCCACGAGGGUGACAGUCUCCCCUGGGAUGCUCGCCAGGCCUAACUGUUCUCGCUCGGACGGGGGCGAUCCUCUGUCUUCGACCCUGGCUGCCAGGCCUGCCCGACAUGAGCUCAAUCGACGAGGCUUCG